AACAGAACAACACCUGAUGACCCAGCAGUACUGAAGAUCAAUGACUGAACUACAAACCACGCUGGACCUGUGGUGUGGUUCUACAUUUUCAAGUUGUUCAUGGCUACAGCUGAAAAGAAAAGAAAAGAAAAGAAAAGAAAAGAAAAGAAAAGAAAAGAAAAGAAAAGAAAAGAAAAGAAAAGAAAAGAAAAGAAAAGAAAAGAAAAGAAAAGAAAAGAAAAGAAAAGAAAAGGAAAGUGAACUUGUCAAGUAAUGUAUUUGACAUUAAGAGAGUGAAAACCAAAAUGAACAAAAAAUGUCUUUCCAGUAGCAGUGAGUUCUUUUUUCUUGAAGAUUCAAAUGAGUACCUCCUUUUUUUGCAUUCAAAGCAUUAUUUUGUCAAGAAAAGCAGCCAGUUUGAGACAAGAAAGAGAAGAAAAGAUGACAAGCAGCUAGAAGACGGAAGUAUUCCCACUGAGUGGUACUCAAAUGAACUAAAUGUUGAUGUCUUCUCAUCCAAUGAACUAUCACAGCAGACAAAUAGCAUUCAUUCACCAUAAUUAGUACUCCAAGGUGUCAAGGUUUUGGAAGGAGUGUUGUGUAGGGG
ensembl:lncRNA